rnacentral:ncRNA from 12 species
CUUAUCUAGGUUUGUGGUUGCGGAUGUGCGAAACAUCCUAGUCCAUGGCAGACGAGGUCAAAAGGAUCCACGUAAAUAGCUGCGUGCGCGCAACUAUGAGCAUGGCUCGUCCUAGGGGUUAGUCAUACCGCUUGUUAUACUCAAAAGGCAUCCCGCCUUGCAAGCGAGAGAGCUUCCAGUAUGGAUGCUGCGGCACACCAGCGAAGGCUCCAGUAUGCGAGUGUGGGGUCAAAUACCAGGUCAACUAGGUAAG